AUUCUAGCAUUCAAUACAAAAGCACUAAGUGAAAAAGUCAGUAUUGCCCUUUCUGAUUUUUUUUUCGUAAAGGUUUCCGAACGUUUCCGACCCUGUAUCGGCAGUUUCCGACCGUUUCUGGCCAUACUAGCGCGUACCUGGUGCCUGCCUUGUGUGUUCAGAAAGUGUUCUCGGAAAUGCGCCGGAAACGUCCGAAAACGCGUCCGUAAAUAAAUCAAAACGUGGUGGCAACACCGACUUUGAACCUUAGUGUUUAGCUUCUCCUCUUCGCAAAACGCAGUGAUCCUUUCAAAAUUUCCAUUUUCAAGUUAUCAAUUUCAACACUUGAACCCCAAUUCUGUUUCACCUCCAAAACUCUCCAACUGUUGUGAUUCAUUGACUCAAAUUUCUUUCCAUAGCUUUAGAAUUUCCAUCUGGGUCUGAUAAGUUUGCUCUAAAGACUCAAACUUUUGUAUCUCAGUGCUCAAUUCUUCCAAAUUUCUAUCUAGGUCUGUUUAUCUGGUCAGUUACAGAGUCCCAUCCUAUUCACUUUGUGGGCCAUUCCGCCGGAGCUCAGGUCGUCCGUGUUCUCCAGAAAAUGCUUGCUGAUAAGGCUUUUGAGGGGUUUGAGAAUACUAAUGAGAAUUGGGUAUUGAGCAUCACGUCAUUAUCUGGAGCGUUCAAUGGGACUACCAGAACGUACUAGGAUGGAAUGCAGCCUGAGGAUGGCAAAACCCUGAAGCCCAUAUGUCUGCUGCAACUAUGUCGCAUAGGAGUUAUUCUUUAUGUCUGAUGCCUCACCCCCGUAUAAGGAAUACAAAGAUGAGGAUUGGCUAGAAAAUGAUGGGGCUCUGAAUACCAUCUCCAUGACUCACCCUCGUCUCCCUGUUGAGCACCCAAGCCGUUUUGUGAAAGAUGAUUCAUAGUGCCACCCCUUUCAACCAGGCAUCUGUAUGAAAACUGAACAAGAUAUGUAGAAGAUAUUCGUGAAGGUUAAUUGAUUCUGUUAUUAGUUGGCUGAUUCUAUCAUUGC